rnacentral:rRNA from 1 species
GACGAACGCUGGCGGCGUGCUUAACACAUGCAAGUCGAACGGAGUGGCGAACGGGUGAGUAACACGUGGGUGACCUGCCCUGCACUUCGGGAUAAGCCUGGGAAACUGGGUCUAAUACCGGAUAGUGUGGGAUGGGCCCGCGGCCUAUCAGCUUGUUGGUGGGUUAAUGGCCUACAAAGGCGGCGACGGGUAGCCGGCCUGAGAGGGUGGACGGCCACAUAGGAACAGAGACACGGCCCAGACGCCUACGGGAGGCAGCAGUGGUGAAUAUUGCACAAGAGGCGGAAGGAGGAAGGAGCGACGCCGCGUGGGGGAUGACGGCCUUCGGGUUGUAAACUCCUUUCACCAUCGACGCGGUAGAUGGAGAAGAAGCACCGGCUAACUACGUGCCAGCCGCCGCGGUAAUAC